GAUGAACGCUGGCGGCGUGCCUAAUACAUGCAAGUCGAGCUAACGGACGAGAAGCUUGCUUUUCUGAUGUUAGCGGCGUACGGGUGAGUAACACGUGGAUAACCUACCUAUAAGACUGGGAUAACUUCGGGAAACCGUGGCUAAUACCGGAUAAUAUUUUGAACCGCAUGGUUCAAAAGUGAAAGACGGUCUUGCUGUCACUUAUAGAUGUAUCCGCGCUGCAUUAGCUAGUUGGUAAGGUAACGGCUUACCAAGGCAACGAUGCAUAGCCGACCUGAGAGGGUGAUCGGCCACACUGGAGCUGAGACACGGUACAGACUGAUACGGGAAGCAGCAGUAGGGAAUCUUCCGCAAUGGGCGAAAGACUGACGGAGCAACGCCGAGUGAGUGAUGAAGGUAUUCGGAUCGUAAAACUCUGUUAUUAGGGAAGAACAUAUGUGUAAGUAACUGUGCAAAUCUUGACGGUACCUAAUCAGAAAGCCACGGCUAAAUACGUG
rnacentral:rRNA from 1 species